rnacentral:rRNA from 1 species
UACGAAGGGGGCUAGCGUUGCUCGGAAUUACUGGGCGUAAAGGGUGCGUAGGCGGGGCUUUAAGUCAGGGGUGAAAUCCUGGAGCUCAACUCCAGAACUGCCUUUGAUACUGAGGAUCUUGAGUUCGGGAGAGGUGAGUGGAACUGCGAGUGUAGAGGUGAAAUUCGUAGAUAUUCGCAAGAACACCAGUGGCGAAGGCGGCUCACUGGCCCGAUACUGACGCUGAGGCACGAAAGCGUGGGGAGCAAACAGG